rnacentral:rRNA from 1 species
CCUACGAGUGGCAGCAGUGGGGAAUAUUGCACAAUGGGGGAAACCCUGAUGCAGCGACGCCGCGUGAGUGAAGAAGUAGUUCGGUAUGUAAAGCUCUAUCAGCAGGGAAGAAAAUGACGGUGCCUGAUGAAGAAGCCCCGGCUAACUACGUGCCAGCAGCCGCGGUAAUACGUAGGGGGCAAGCGUUAUCCGGAUUUACUGGGUGUAAAGGGAGCGUAGACGGCAGCACAAGUCUGGAGUGAAAUGCCGGGGCUUAACCCCGGAACUGCUUGGGAAACUGUGCAGGUAGAGUGCAGGAGAGGUAAGUGGAAUUCCUAGUGUAGCGGUGAAAUGCGUAGAUAUUAGGAGGAACACCAGUGGCGAAGGCGGCUUACUGGACUGUAACUGACGUUGAGGCUCGAAAGCGUGGGGAGCAAACAGGAUUAGAUACCCGAGUAGUC